ACGGAAGGCAGCAGUGGGGAAUAUUGCACAGUGGGCGAAAGCCUGAUGCAGCGACGCCGCGUGAGUGGAGAAGUUAUUCGUAACGUAAAGCUCUAUCAGCAGGGAAGAAAAUGACGGUACCUGACUAAGAAGCCCCGGCUAACUACGUGCCAGCAGCCGCGGUAAUACGUAGGGGGCAAGCGUUAUCCGGAUUUACUGGGUGUAAAGGGAGCGUAGACGGCAAGGUAAGUCUGAAGUGAAAUGCCGGGGCUCAACCCCGGAACUGCUUUGGAAACUAUCUCGCUCGAGUACCGGAGGGGUAAGCGGAAUUCCUAGUGUAGCGGUGAAAUGCGUAGAUAUUAGGAGGAACACCAGUGGCGAAGGCGGCUUACUGGACGGUAACUGACGUUGAGGCUCGAAAGCGUGGGGAGCAAACAGGAUUAGAUACCCUGGUA
rnacentral:rRNA from 1 species